CAAGGUUGGGGGUUCGGGCGCCAAAACGUCGCGAACUGAACUACUUAAUAUUCGAUCUUCUUUGGCUUACACGUGAAUUCAGUCUCGCACAUACUUUUCAAUAUUUAUGAGCACGCUCUGAGCACGUGGCGACUAAAGAUCCGAACCCAGACGUGCCGAAGAGAGGCCGUCUCCCUGAGAUCUGCCGGAAAUUUUUCGGUGAGUCUUCCUGGAGAAUUUUCCGAUCCAUCUCUAUCUUUCGCCGAUGAUAUGGCUUCUCCCGAUUCUAUCGUUGUAGCUAGGCGCUCUUUCGUGUCACGGCUCGAGUUGUAUAUUCGCCGCACGCCUCUGACUCAGUGUUUUCAAACCCGAAAGGUCUGCCCUGAUUUUGAUCUUCAAAGUCACCCAGUAGUACAUUACUUUGGUUCGCCCGGAUGCACUAUCCCCAGGUUUAGGGCUGAAAUUCUGCCUAGGCUGCCGUUGGUGGCCCCGUCUAUUGUGUAUGUUGAGCUGGGCCACAACGACCUGUGUGUCUCAUCCCGCAAGCCUCCCACUUUUGUGGCCGGGGAGCUGUUUGAUUUAGCAGGAGAAAUUGGUUCAAUCCCCUCGGUCAAACACGUCAUAUUGGGCCUGCCCAUGUGGCGUCUGUUGAUGCCCCCAUGCAAUCCAAACAUUAAUGAUGACUUAAAUUUCGUGCCUUCACCCAAUCACUGAAAUCACGUUGCGAAGGGUCCCCCAAAAUCUUCCCCCUGCGGCAUGACCGCCUGUUUCGGAAUAAUGCCACCUACUUCGAUUACGACGGCCUCCAUUUAUCGGGAUACGGAAAUUUCAUCUACUACAAGAGUGUUCGGGGAGCCCUUGUGGCUGCCUUAAAAUCAGGUUAAGAUUUUUAGAUAUCUGGAAUUCGGCGGACUCCCGUCCAACAUGACAAGAAAACAAUUAGCGUUUGUUAUAUAUCUGGGACCCGGGUGGCGGAGUGCCGCCCAUUUUGCUGAACUUUGUUGUUGUCACAUAACACAGCUGGUAAUUUAUUAAAUUCCUCUUUUCCUGGUUUGUUUUUCGUGUACGUGUUCUUGCAUUUUAAUAUGUUUAUUUCCCUGUCAAGAAAUUUUUGUCUUCUUAUUUCGUUCACCUUGACGUAAUGUUACAUCUAUUUACCAUUCGAUUUUGCAACAUCGGAUCCACGGUGGAUAGCUGUAAUCUUUAAGCCAUUCCUGUGAUCAAAACUGGUUAUAUGCCCCCUGCACCCCUCUCCAAAAUGUGUCUAUCUCACAAUUUACGACAUUGAGGAUUUUAUUUUCAAAUAUGUGGCGUAAUCAUAUCCGCCGGUUCUAUAUUGGCCCGUCGCAUGUCGCUCUGUUUUGGCGCCUUGUUUAUAAUACUGUCGAUCUUGUUGUCCCGCGCAUGGCGGGUUUUGGUUGCUAGAUUUAUGAAGAAUUGACUCUCCCAAAUAUUUCACAUGUCAUGGUUUGAGGCUGUUAAGUCGACAAUCGAAUGUAUUAGAUUUGUAAAGAAGUAGAAAUGCUCGAUUAUUUCUUUAUAUGGGUUUACAGAAGUACCUAAGUGUUUACAUUAUACCGUCGAUUCUCAUGGCUGUAUUUUUCCUAAGUCUCGGGCGGAUUGCCCGAGCUUUAUGAAUAAAACACACCUCCUGUUUCCGCCAAACUUGAUUGGUUAGAGUUAUUAUUGCAUGGAUGUGAUUUUAAAGCCUUGCUCGGAAAUGAAAAAAGACUUUGCGAUGCAAAAGAGAAACCAUUUCAUAUGUAUGAAGAUUGGUCUUAUGGCAUAUGACAAAAGCCCAAACUUAGAACAUACAGAUUAUAUUAAGGAUACCUAUUGCACAGAUCGUUAUGUAACAAUGAACCUUAGUAAAAGCCAAAGAUCUCUUUGUGCGCAGUUGCGGGCGGGAAUAUUACCAUUGUAUAUUGAAACCGGACGGUACCAAGCAAUACCUGAGGAAAACAGGGUUUGUACAAUGUGCAGUCUGGGUGAAGUAAAAAACGAGUCACACUUUCUUUUCUACUGCCUUUUUUCAGAUGACUUAUGCGAAAGUAUAUUUUGCAAAAUAUGUCGAGGUUGCAGCAGGAGAAAACGAUCAAGGAGCUGAACUGCACGAAAACAGAGAUUUUCAGGUCCUGGCGACUGCAAAAAGGAAGAAAGAAGAAGAGCAGAAUUCAAACGGACACAUGGAAGAAAGGGUAACACUCAGAUUAUCUGAUGAAACCAAUAUCUGUUCAAAAUCCGCUCAAAAUAGAUAAUUAAUGGACAGUAUACAUUUAUUUAUUUAUUACACCUUUCUUUAGGAAGACGAAAAUUAACAUCCAGUCAAAAAGCACCUUUGCAUGUAGAUAAAGCGUAACUGUAGUUUCUGUCCUGUCAAGCAAUAUUGAAUAACCUGAUUUAAAAAAAAGAAGAAAACAUGACAACCAGUGAUGGCGUCAUCUUGUGUACAUAAGAAAGAAUGUUAUUGCUUAUGUAUGUGCAGUUCAUAAAGUAAAAGUGGGCAGUGAUGUAAAGGGGAAUUAUUUGAUUUCUAUAGAUGCCUUACAUUGCAUGGGGAAACCCCCCAAGAUGAAAUCUGGCUAAAAGACGUGGGAAACCAUGGGGAGGCUCAUUAAAAAAUGACCUUCCAUGUACAAAACAGGGAACGUCCGUACUCUUUGUUGAUGGAAAGCAACAUCACCCCAUCAGCCACAAGCACAGUGCCAGAGCCAUGUGGUAUUUGCCAGUGUUUUGUGUACCUGCCCGUGCAAGUACUGUGUGCCUAUGUGUUCUGCUUUGCAUGCUUACACAAGUUGUUCCAGAUAGCUGAAAAUAACAAUGCUGACUGUGCUAUAUGCAAAGCAAAAAUAAAGGCAAGUGACCUGACACCUGUUCACAGGACCUGGAGGUCCUGCUAUGCUCAGUUAACUUUUAACUGCAGAAACUGUUGUGCACAGAUGAGGCUGGAUGAGCUCAAGUACCAUAAUGAAUGUACUACAAAUACAAAACAAAUGGCUGGUCCUUCUCACACAACAGCACCGCCUCUGCCAGCUGGAAGGAAAUAUCUCAUUAUUAUUAUUAUUAUUAUUAUGAUGGUACCUCGCACUAACACUCAGGUGAUCCCACCAUCUGUACAUGAACCUGUACCCCCUUAUUUUCUUCCUUCUUUGUCAAUAUCAUUUUCAAAAAAAAAAAAUGUGCAUACCGGACCACAUGCAGAAGCACAUGCAGAAGCAACGUUACAGGGGCCAAGCACUAAACCAAAGUUCAACGUUCAGAGGUUACACGUGCUUUCUUGACCGAGAUAGAAGAACAAUUUGUUCGAAAGGCAAUCUUCCGAGCUAGCCCGCUAGAAUUGAAAGAUUAUCGCUUGUUUUCGUGAAAUGGAAAUCUUACCUUCUAUUGUGUCGUGAAUUGUCUCUUUUAGAUUCUCAGCGCUGGAUUUGAACAGUAAUGUACACUGUUGUGGUAGGUGAGAUUAUCUUACUUGAGAUGAUGGUAACGUUUUAUUCGUUGCCUAGCAUUGCCACAAUAUAAGUUUGGAAACUUUUCAGGCACAUGUACACUGAUGCCUCCGACUUAACUUUGUUAUAAAUAUAAGUCUUUGAGUUUGUAGCCGGUGUUUAUUCAUAGUUUGUCUCAGUCAAUAGCCUACUGAUAGCAAAAUAGCGAACACCAGAGUGUUAAUUGUGUUAGAAAGAACUGUUGUCAGCGGGUAACGAAAAGGGCACGGAGUCUUUCACAAAAUUUAUAGAUUUACUUGACUGAAAACAGAUUUACUUGAAUGAAAACUGUUAAGUCAAGGGUAGUAUAUCCGUUAUUCGGUGUUUUACUGACAGAUUCUUGUCAGGAUGAAGGAACUACAUACAGGCGUUAUCAAAUAGACAGAACCCGUCAUUGCCAAAAUGUGUCCUGAAAUAAAGCUAGCUACUGACUGGUGUGGGUAACAGUCAGUAUUGGGAGCGACCCAAUAGAACCAUGAAGAGGGUCAAGACUAGUCUGCACUGCAGCAUGAAAAUAGAUAUACUAAACCAGUUUCUUACAUUUACAUUCAUUUACUGGACAGGUUACAUUUCACUCUAAUGCAGCUGCAACAUGCGGGGGCACGAGAAAUCGUAAGAUCUUUGUAAAUGUCUGUUUCUUAGCACUGACAUUAUAGUCAUUCCUCACCGUACUAGAAAUUUAUUUGUAUUUAAUUGGGAUUCAAUUGCGGUCUCCUUAUUUCUUCAUGUCUUUACAUUUACAGCUCAGUUUAAUUAAUUUAGAAGGGCAAACAAAGAAAUUACACCCUUGUAGAUAGAAGGUAAGUUGUAAAUGCCCUACCUAGUGGUGCCAAUAGAAGGAAUAGAGGCGUGUGUCUAUUCAAAAGCUUGAAAAAGUAUGAGAUUGUACAAAAUACGACAAGCCCAAAACAAAAGUCGGAGCUAGACCUUCAGAUUUAACACCACCUGCAAGGAGUCGGCCAUGUGCCUGCCCUCAGCUUCGGAAAGCAAGAAUCUACUAUGGCAAAGAUAAACUUACCGAUGUAUGAAGUAUAUCCUUGUGACAUAGUUCAUAUCACAAAAGAGCACAUCAAGAACGUGCUAGAAGAGUCACCACAUCAUCUGUGCCAACAUGGCAAGGAGAAACGACAGCUACAGUUAAGGUGUGGAUUAUAGAAAACAUUUGUUCAUGAUAACGGCAGCCCUGUACGAACAUUAAGGCAACCAUAAUGCGGUACAUAUAUAAUACUCACUAAAGAAUAAUCGAACACAAGAAUAACACCCAUCCAGAUACUACGGUUUGCAAACCAGAUGAACGCACACACAAAUCUACUAAGGAAGGUAAUCGGAACCAAAACAAUGGCAAUGACAUCAAGAAAAUUGUAUGUAACUUAUUUUCACUCUCUUUCUACUCAUGCACCCAUCCUAUACGGACUGGUAAACCUAAGGUCACUCAAUGCCGAAGACCAAGAAAGUCUGUUCUUCAAGCUGAAAGGGAUCAGCAAUCCGAUUCAGCUGAGGAUAUGCGUUUACGAUGCUUCGAGGCUAAACUUCAUUAGAAUGGCAACCAAUCAAGAGCAGAGAGUGCGGAGUCUGCCUUGAUCCCUGUGUGUGGUCAAGACGACAAUUCUCCAUCAGUACAGUUGAUCCAGAAGGGUGCCCCUCUGAUAGGGAAACAUAUCCAGCUGAAAACGUGUGCAGAGAGUAAAGGUAUCACAAAUAAAUUUUAUUUUUUGAUAACGUCAUCUUCAUUUGCAGGCAUAGACUACUAAGGAAAUAGAACCCACAUGCAUUUUGUGCUAAUCAAUCUAAUAUGCAUCAAAACAAAAACUUACAGUUGUUGCUUUGCACAUAUGGUGUCACUACAAACUUGACAUGAAUUGUUUUCCCACAAGGUUUUCCAAACAAAGGUCGUCAACAUUGAAACUUUACAGGCAGGACUUUACUGCUGAUAGUGAUUACAUUUACAUGUUAAAUUAAAAUACUCCAUACAGAUAUAUGUAUACUACUGCAGUGCACAUAGUCAAACAUGUUUCUUUUAUAGGUUGUCUGUUUUCAAAACAGGCAAGAAUUGCUUGCAGUUUCUGAAAAGUGUUCAAAUGCCCACUGAAUAAACUUCUACUUUGCACAGUUGUGUGCGUCAACUCUGACAUGACAAAUUACAUUAGCAAACCAUGUUGUUUAACUGCACUAUGAUGUCAUUGUUGUUCGGUGUUUAGGACUAUCAGAAUUUUUUUCUGAUCCUAAUGUUUAGUACAUAAAUAUUAUGUUAUAAUUUUUUUAAAAUUAAUUUUUCACAAAGAGGAUACGAUAGAUUAUGUUUAAUUUUUUACGAUGACAGCAAGGGAAAUAUUUGUUGUAGAUGGGGCCUUAUGUAUCAUCCAAUUUACACAAGAUUAUGGUAAUUCUUUACAAUAAAUCUUACGCAUUUCCGACAAUAUAAUCAUGUGGCUAGAGUACAGAGGACAGCACGAAAAGACACUGUCUAUUUUUGUAUGACUAGGCUUCCUUACGUAACACAUAUACAGCUCAAUGCACAAACAGGAACCGCAUCAUUCACAUAAUAUGAAAAAAGAUAUAGAAAAACAAACAUAACCAGAUACAAAUGGCGAUGCAGACUACGAGCUAAUAGAGGAAGGGAGCACGGCCCAAAACAGCCCCAAGUCUGGGCCCCCUGUAGACACACACAAGGGGUCGUCUUCAGCUACAACGUCACGCCCCCCUGACGUCUCAGCUUCAAGGUCACGCCCCCCUGACAUCUCAGCUUCAAGGUCACGCCCCCUGAGGUCUUAGCAAACUGAUCUCUGACUGUUUUCUUUCUUGUUAGGUUUACUUCGAAUUAGUUAACAGCUGAAAUUUAAAAAAAGAUUAUAAGUUAAUUGCACUGUCUUUUGUAACUCAGAGGAAAGGGUUAUCAAAUAACUCUUGCAAAUUUGACAGGAUUUUUUUAAUGCUCCCAGUAAUUUUCCCGUAAUGAGUGUAAUGAACAGCAGUUUACUGAUCAAAGGCAGGCAUGCAAGAUGAUGAACUGAACUAUUUUUUAAAUGGAAAUUACCUCUGGUGUACAUGGAAUACCCUGUGAACUUUAUAGAAAUUUCUUCUCAGUAUUCCAAGUGCCUGAUCCUUUUAAAUUUGUCACAAGGUUGUCUGUCAAACAAACAGAAGCAAUGCAUUAUAUAUAUUCAUUGCAAAAAACAGGGAACUGAUGCCCAAUAUAAGGACCCAAAUUACACAAGACAAUUUUUGGACUCGUGCUAAUUCCAUAAGAUGAAGAUUUACGCAUUUCGGACAAAACAUCCCUGUGGCUAGAGGGAGGGCGGCACUUUUAGGCCUAUUUCUUUACCACUAGGCUGUCUUAUGUGACCAAUAUACAGCUCAAUGCAAACAGAGGAAGCGUAUCAUCAAUAAAACGUAGGCAACAAGAGCUCGUAAAAAAGGAUACCUGGGUAGCCAAAUAUACUUCUGAUAAAAUGCAUAUAGGAAAGGUUAUCAUUUGAUGGUGGGAUUUCUAUUCAUAUUCUAAGCAGUCAAGACGAAGUGCGACACAACAACUCAGCUGUGAAGGCAGAAUGGAUUGACGUUAGGAUUGCAGAGCUCGAGGUUCUGUUGGAGAAUCAGAUACAACACGCCAUUGUAUCUUUUAUCAAUUGUAUAUUCUAUCAAUGUGGCUCUGAAUCUAUAUCCGUAACUUAAAAGAUUAUUCAGAAGGACGUUAAAACCAACCUUAUAUCGAAUAUAGUGUAUUCUAUCAAUAAUUGUAUGGUUUUGAUUAUACUAGAUCAAUGUCACAGCACAAAGCGUUACCAGACCAUACAUUUUUUUCAGCAGUUAAAGAAUAAUAUUUAGAUUCAUAUAGAACAACAGUGCGGAGAAAGGUCUUAUACAACUCUCAUGGAUGUGGAGGAUAAGGACUUAUUAACCUUUAUUGACGGCAUUAUGGAUCCCCAAAAUAUAUCAUAAUACUGGUUUUAAUCAAAGCCUUUGUCAAACACAUAUAUCAUUGUCUUUGAAUAGGGGUAAUUUCCAUUGAUACAAAUAGACAAGGACGUAAUGAAAAUUGAGAGUCCAUUGUGUCAAAACGCAAGGGAUUUGACGUUCCUAGAAGGAGGGUUAUGCCUGAUGAUAGAGGAAGAGAGAAUCUUCAUGUCGAUGUAAGGAAUCCCAAAGGGGUGGAGGUCGGUGAUUUAGAGAACCUAGACCUUAGUGAGACUAAGGGAGGUGAAACUAGGAACCCUCUUUGGAUGGAGGGGUAUGGGACCUUUGUGGGACUGAAGGUGGUGAGGAACACUUUGAUAGGAAGUUGAGUGCGGUAUAGAAACUCUCAUACAGUACUUAGUGCUACGGAAGAGUCCUCAAGUGAGGUGUUAAGUGUAAGCAAAGUUAGUGGUAAGGACGUCAAAGGAAUACAACCUCUAUUCUGUUUGUAUUUAGGUAUUUAGAUAUUGAUGUAUCCGUCCGCGCAGUAAAAUACUGGCUACGGCUGAAACAAUUGGACAUCUCUACACACCCAUUAAAGUUGGACGCACUACUCUGUCAACAACACAAUAUAGAAAAUUGUGGUAAGAAAAGUUGGCUGCGUCAUAUUAAAGAAAUAUUAGAUAAUUCAGGCUAUUCAUUCUUAUGGAACACUAAUUACCCUACACCAGACAGUAAGAACAUAUGUACUUUGUUAAAGAAAAGGCUGUCUGAUAUGUAUGUUCAAUUGUUCUUUCACCAAUUGUAUGUAGAUAAUGGCAAGUUAAGGUUUUACAAAAGUGUUAAAUCUAAGUAUUCAAUGGAAAAUUAUCUGUAUCUUUAUAAGUUUGAUGAAAGGUCUGCCAUAUGUAAGUUAAGAAUUAGUGCACACCCAUUAGAGAUUGAAAGAGGCCGCUAUAAAAAGCUACCUGUCCACGAGAGAUUUUGUAAAUAUUGCUCAAUGAAUGCGGUGGAAAAUGUAAUACAUUUUAUUUGCCAGUGUCCUCACUAUGAGGUUGAAAGAAACCGAUUGUUCCAAACAAUCGCUACAAUUUCACCCAGUUUUUGCAACCUAGGACAUCGCCAAAAGACUACAUUUUUACUGAAGUCACAAAAUAAACUUAUUUUGCAGGGUGUGGGACAGUUCAUUAACCACUGCCUUCUAAGAAGAAGUCAAAUCCAAUAAUAAGAUGCAACUUCAGCUGAAUAGACAUUAGUGCUAUGUACUACAUUGUAUUUUGUUUCCCUUGAGAAUGUUCCUGCAAUUAGCCUUCGGGCAUGACUUUGCAAAUAAACUUGUUAUUCUGUUCGUUUGACACAGGGGCAUUGGCGCUUUGUUAAUUUUCUUAAAGUGUAAGUUUACGAUUCUAUCGAAUUCCGGAUUACCCCGUCCCACGACGAGUAGCAAUCUACUGUCCUCACCAUCACCACAGUCUGAGGGGCAACAAGGAAUAGAGCUAACUAGAGAUGUCUAUGUCGGGGUGACAUGCCCCUCGCAGAAGCAAGCGAAGAUAAAUGACAGAUGGGGUUAUAAGAGAAAAGUAAACAAAUUUAACCACAUAUUUACAGGCAUCUAAACACAUUUGACCAUUUAUCGACAGUGAACAUUUUGGUGCUAUUUUCUAGCGGUAUCAGUGUAUAUUCUGUCUGUGGAGGAUAUUCGGUUGCUACACUAGCGACGCUCACUAUCACAAAUUUUCUACGGUGUAGGCUGGUGUCAAGUUACUGGGAUUCCCGCCGCUUUUCCGGCGGUUAUCCGGUUACCGGGACUCCCGCGCCUUCUCUUCGAGCUAAACAUUUACUGCAAAACAAAUUUUCUCAAUAUUAUUUUUUUACCUAAUUGUAAAUAACGCUUGAAGGUAUUUAGGAAACAACAUAUUUUAUCACUUGAGACCAUUCAUAAAGCACAGAAGAUACCGUUUGUAUAAAGAAAUUUAUGUCCAGUAUGCUACUUAUAAUUUUUGUCAGAUAGCCUUUGCAGUUACACUUUAGAGAUAAAAUGAUAUGAAAACGUACAGAAUUUAUAUCGAGAAAUGAAUAGUUAAAAUUAUUUUUCUACAAAAGUUUUCAGAUUAUGAUAUAUCAGGCACCUUUUGAAAUUACAAGGGUAAUAUGAUACAUAGGUAAGACUCGAGCAGCAGAACAUUAUUUGACAAAAAGAAGCUCACUACUUGACAGACUGGACAAUGUCAAUGCAAGUGAGAGUUGUGCAAUUUGUGAAGACUGAGCCAGGUGACAAUGCUGUGGCAGAGAUCAAAGGUUGAAAUAAUGACAAGGUUGAAAUAAUGACAAUCGGCAUCGCUAAAGCAAUCGUGAACGCGCCCGCGAUGUACUGUGUAAAUAUGAAAGUGUUGAUCACUGGAAUUAGCCUAUUAUGAGGCUAAUUGUGGAUCUAAAUAAUAUAACUCAACUAAACUGCCGCUGCAGGAAAAAAUGUCACUCAAAAUGUCACUCAACUUUUUCGCCCAUGCCUUCCUUGAACGUGACUACAUAGAAUUAAUGUUUCACCUGUGCGUGGCAAGCUGGCCAUUAUCAGACUAUUGAUCACCUACUUUCGAAAUUUAUAUCUUGCAAAUAAAUCAAAAAUAAAGACAGCUUAAACAACUUUCAAAAGUGUUCCGACAAUGACUUUGAGAAGAUGAUGCGUUUCCUCAAGGUAAUGAAAAUCCCUUAUAUGACCACAGUUGCAUUGUCGUCCGAGAAAAUACCAGCCUCUGGACAAGUGCUGCCUAUGCUCCACAUACAGGAACAGUAUUUGGCUGACAAAGACGAGAUUACAAAAGAUAUACAUUAGGAAAUAUCUCAGUCAGAUACAGAGAGGAUGAUAGAAGAGGGUUCCUUUGAGCCCGUGGUGUAAGGGUGUGGUUUUCCAAGAGGACGUUUGUAAUCGGCUUACUAACAAGGUAAUGAUAAGGACCCCAAAGAGAGCUUCAGGCUUUUGAAUGCUUUCGGAAUGUGUGUCCAGGUACGCCUUUUGGACAAUAUAACCAUAUGGAUAGAAGGGAGGUAUGCAUCGGAAAGGCACUGCGAUUUUGUGUUUCAUUAACAUAAUGUAGCAAAUCAGAGCUCGAAGAAAAGGAUACCCCGGUGACCUGAUAUACAUUUAACAAAAUGUAUUUAUGCUUUAAGGCUACAUUAGUAUUGUAAUUAGCUUUUUACUCUGUAUAUAAUGA